CCUAAAUCAGGUCCACCUAGCCUAGUAUCCUAUCUCCCACAGUAACCAUAGUCUGGCAUCCAGAGAAGCAUAAAAAAGCAAGGGGGACUGCCUAUCAGUGAUAUGAAGAAACCUUCAUGAAGGUCACACAAAGGACACCUUGGCUGAGGGGAAAUCUUCAUCCCAAAUAUAUUAUGACCGUCGUCUUCCACUGAAAUCGUUGCAAAAAGGUGAUGGGCGUUUCCACCAGGCCGGGAGCCACCCGGGAGGGCGCC